GGCACGCGCGGGCUACCGGGGCGGAGGCGUACGGGGGCGGCGAGCGGGGCUCGGCUCCUCCUCGUCCCGCGCCAGCGCCGCGCCCGGCCGCAUUCUCGGGGCCCGAGGCUCAGCCGCUCGCGGUGGAGAAAGCAGGCCGCGGAGGAGGCGGGCGCCCAGGCCUGCCCGGACAGGAAGUGGGCCCAGCUUUCCCACUCCUCGCUCCGCUCCUUCCUCCGCGGGAAGGGCAGGCCCCGGAGGCAGCGAGCGCCCCGGGGGUGGCCGGGCAGCCGGAUGCUCCCGGGGUUGCGGGCUGUGGCCCCGGGGGCUGAGGGCGGCGCGGGUGCGGCGGAAGCAGGGAAGCCGCGAACCGGCCUUCUGGCUGGCCACAGCGCCCUGCACGGACGAUCAGUGAAUGGAGAUUACUCAAGUAUUUAUCGAGAACUUGCAGUGGGCUAGGCACAGUUCAGUUGAACCUUCGUCUUGUGAGGAACAGAAAGAUCAAGAACUCUGAAGCACCUCGACUUUCCACCUGUGAAGAUGUGUUCAAAUUUGCAACGUGCGGCCACACCUAUGAGGUCACUCCCUCUGGAGGAAACCAGCUGCCACUUUGUGAGGAUACUCAUAGUCCUGUGGAGGCAUAUCCUCCAUAUGGCUGAGACCUCCUGCGAACAACCAUCACUGACUUGCCAGACAUGAGUGUGCCACCUUGGAAGCAGAUUUUCCAGCCCCAGUUAAGCCUUCAGAUGACAUCAGCCCCUGCUAAUCUCUUGACUACAACCUCAUGAGAGACCCUGAGCCAGAACUAGCCAGGCUUACCCCUCAUGGUUACAAAGUGGCUGCAACAGCUCCAGGUGUUCUAUCCUUUAACACAGAAUAACUCAAACAACAAGACCCAAUAUUCAGACAAGAAGGAAAGGGACUUUUGGAGAGUGAAGAAAACUUUCCUAGAAACCUCAAACUUCUCCCCAUGCCUUAUUGGCCAGAUUGUAUCCCAUGCCCAUUUCUAAACCAAUCAUUGGCAAAGUGAGUGGAAUUGACGUGAUUAGAUUAACUUUACCAAGAAUGCAUCCUCAGAGAGGCUGAGAAAAAGUCCAGCCUCCUUUGAAGAGCCUGGCUACCUUUCACCUGAACAAAACAAGAAUUCUGAUGAAAAAUGGAGAAUGUAUGUGGAGCAGGCACCCGGAGUGUCUAUGCCAGGAUUUUUUUUCAGUGCGUUUCACCGGUUAUAUUUUUGUCUCUUUACCUUACAAGAUAUGUGGCACGUUUGCCUAAAACAAGCCUUGCUUUCUGAUUUCUGUGCACUAGGCACUUAAACCUUGCAAAUGUCGCUUACCUAACAGUCACUGUCAAGGAGUACCUGGCUAAAGAAUCUCCAGCUAGACAAAGUAGAAGUGUCUGUGCUCUGGCAGUUGAAUAUAUUGUAUCAGGCUCAACAGCACCUUUCACCAAAGGAUGAGACUUCACAACCAUUAGAUCUUCUUUUAUUUUGUUUUUAUUAAAAAAAAAAAUUUUAACACACCAUUGCUAACUUGAAGCCAUUAGAUCUUCUUACCCCCAAUACCACAAAAGUUUAGUGGAAUCAGGGGUAUACCAAGGCAGGUGGAGUAGGGGAGCUGGGAGUGGUCAGCCCCCAGGGCAGGCAAUGAGGGAUUGUGAAUCUGUGAAGAAUUUUAAAGCAAUGAUACAGCUCUAAAUGCAAUGUACUAUCCUGGACUUAGCCCUGGAAAAGAAAAAAGAUAUUAGUGGAAAAACUGGUAAAAUUCAAAUAAUGUCUGUAGUUUGGUUAAUAGUAUUAUACCAAUGUUAAUUUCUGUGUUUUGAUAAAUGUACCAUGGUUAUGUAAGCUGGAUGAAAGAUAUGUGGGAAAUCUCUCUACUAUUUCUGCAACUCUCCUGUAAACCUAAAAAUGUUUCAAAAUAAAAGAUUUAAUGCUAAA
rnacentral:lncRNA from 1 species